AGAAACUUAGGUUAAACAUUAAACCAAGAGCCUUCAAAGCCCUAAAUAGAGGAUAUAAGCCCCCUAGUUUCU
rnacentral:tRNA from 1 species